UUGAAAACCUUAGAAAAAACUACAGAAAUACAAGCCUAAAGUAGACAUUGUAAAGAUGUUUUCAUACUGAGGAUAGAAACCCAGGCCAUGUGCGUGCUAGGUAAGUGCUCCUCCCUCAGCAAGAGCUCCAGCCUUUGAAAAUUCUUAAUUGAAAGGUGACCAUUCCGAACCCAGUGUUUAUCCUGCCCAGUCUAAUCACCCAUUGUGAUCUAAGGUUUCUUAUUAAAUUGUCCUAAGAAGACUA
rnacentral:lncRNA from 1 species